UGUAGCACUACCAUGGCAUACAUUCAAAAUUGCUUGAAGUAUAUUUCAUUGAUUGUAUGGAUGAGUCUAACUUUAAGAUGCAGCAAAGUGUGGAAUGAGUCGACCCCAACAAAGGUGGAGUCGACCCUGGCACAUCAUGGAACCAUCAGGCACACCUCUGCGAAAAUGGCACGGAUGAACAGUAGUGGAGUUGACCCCAAGUAUGGUUGAGUCGACCCCAGCUUCAAGCCUCAAGAAAACAAGUCUCUGGCAUUUACUGAGAGGGCGGACCCCAACUUUCCUUGAGCCGACCCCAGGAAUACUUGAGUCGACCCCAAUGGAGUCGACCCCAACUGAACAUGAGUCGACCCCAAGGCUAUGUCGUUCAAAACUGUGUCUCUGGAAUCCCUAAGAGGGUCGACCCCAAUGGAACUUGAGUCGACCCCACUGUAGCUUGAGUCGACCCUAAAAAGAGUUGAGUCGACCCCAGUGAAAAACAACUGAAAUAUAAGAUUCUGUGAUCUCUGAGAGAGUCGACCCCACUAUAGCAGGAGUCGACCCCAGUGAAAGUUGGGUCGACCCCACUGGAAGUUGAGUCGACCCCAAGUCUGAUGAAUAGUGGUUUGAGUCGACCUCAGGAAAGUUUGGGUCGACCCCAGCACGGGCAGAAGCAUAACGGCUAGUUCUGCAGA
rnacentral:lncRNA from 1 species